rnacentral:rRNA from 1 species
AUAUUGGACAAUGGGCGCAAGCCUGAUCCAGCCAUGCCGCGUGUGUGAAGAAGGCCUUCGGGUUGUAAAGCACUUUUGUCCGGAAAGAAAAGCUCUCGGUUAAUACCCGGGGAUGCUGACGGUACCCCAGGAAGAAGGCCCGGCUAACUACGUGCCAGCAGCCGCGGUAAUACGUAGGGGCCGAGCGUUGUCCGGAGUUAUUGGGCGUAAAGCGCGCGCAGGCGGCGGUGUCAGCCCGACGUGAAAGCCCCCGGCUUAACCGGGGAGGGUCGUGGGGGACGGCACCGCUUGAGGGCGGGAGAGGUCGGUGGAAUUCCCGGUGUAGUGGUGAAAUGCGUAGAGAUCGGGAGGAACACCUGUGGCGAAGGCGGCCGACUGGGCCGACCCUGACGCUGAGGCGCGAAGGCGUGGGGAGCGAAC